ACCGCUGCUUGCUUCCAGGACUUGCUUAAUCUGAAGCACCGGCGGGAAUCAACGCUUCCGAAGCUCUCCCCUCAUCAUCUCCUAACUCUGAGGAUAGAGAUUCCAUCUGAUAUCUAGACAUGGGUACUGCUCUUCAUGGUUUGAAAACGAGCAACUCUACAUUCAAAUGGAGCUCUGUGAUUAUAGUUUAUCCAUUGGCAGGUAUUCUCACCCAUUCUCUGAGGUAAAUGCACUGAGAGCCUUUUGUAUCAGGCUAUGGUGGAUCUCGAACCGGCACGACGUCCUUCGGCAAGGGAAAUUCUUGAGACUCCCAUAUGAGAAAAGAUGUGCUUUGUUUGUGCAAUCCCUUGAUAUCAGCCUGCUAUUUUGUUAGGUUGCAAUCCCCACUUUACCAAAGUUCAUGCACCAAAUUUAGCCCAAAAGUGCUUUCGUUUUCAAAUAUUUGAAGUCUGAAGGCAUGUUUAAGAGCCAUUUUGAAAGGAUUAAAACCACUUUCAAGAUGUAAAAUAAAAAAUUAAAUUGAUUUUGAAUGAUUCAAGAUAUUUUUUGAUUGCGUAAUUAAAACGUUCCUCCCUAUAUAGUUAUAAUACGUGUAAUAUGUUGAAUUUGAUGGUUUAGGAAAAAACUAUGAAUAUUAGUGAGUAUGCCUAAAUAAAUAGAGUUUAGAUUUUGAGGAUCGUUCCUUCCCAAACAAACCAUACAUUUUCACCUACUCCAAAAGAAAUAAAGUUCAAUCAGCCAAAGCUAGAAAGGAGGCAAAGCUAGUUAUUAUGCAAAACUUAGAAGCUUUUGCUGGUUUUUCUCUAUGUUUACGAAAUCAAAGAGGAAAUAAUGGCAAUGAAAAGUGUCUAAAAAGAUGGUUUCUUGUUUUCCUUGCAUACAAUUUCUUCAAAUUGUUCAAUUUGGUUACUACAAAAGCACAUAUAUUGAUUGUUUAGAAAUUGAUUCAACGUUGCUUGUUUGUGUUAGAAAUGGCUAAGAUAAAUGAAUUCACAUUCUCUGUUUCAUCUUUCUUUUUUUCUUUUUUUCUUUUGUUGAAAAAGGAAUUCAAUAUUUUAGAUUAGUGGAGGAUGAAGAAAGAAAUUAUUGUGACAAAAAUUUCUUUAUUGAAGUCAGGGACAAUUUUCUUAUGGAA